rnacentral:rRNA from 1 species
UGCCAGCCGCCGCGGUAAGACGGGAGAUGCAAGCGUUAUUCGGAAUUAUUGGGUUUAAAGGGUCCGCAGGCUGUUUGUUAAGUUAGAGGUGAAAUCCUACCGCUCAACGGUAGAACUGCCUUUAAAACUGGCAAACUUGAGUUAUUGUGAAGUAAUUAGAAUGUGUAGUGUAGCGGUGAAAUGCAUAGAUAUUACACAGAAUACCGAUUGCGAAAGCAGAUUACUAACAAUUAACUGACGCUGAGGUGCGAAAGUGUGGGGAGCAAACAGGAUUAGAUA